GACGAACGCUGGCGGCGUGCUUAACACAUGCAAGUCGAACGGAAAGGCCCUGCGUUUGUUGGUUGCUCGAUUGGCGAACGGGUGAGUAACACGUGAGUAACCUGCCCUUGACUUUGUGAUAACUUCAGGAAACUGGGGCUAAUACCGGAUAGGAUCUCCUGCUGCAUGGUGGGGGUUGGAAAGUUUCGGCGGUUGUGGAUGGACUCGAGGGUUAUCAGCUUGUUUGUGGGGUAGUGGCUUACCACGGCUUUGACGGGUAGCCGGCAUGAGAGGGUGAACGGCCACAUUGGGCCUGCGAGACGGACCAGAAUCCUACGGGAGGCAGCAGUGGGGAAUAUUGCACAAUGGGCGGAAGCGUGAUGCAGCAACGCCGCGUGCGGGAUGCCGGCCUUCGGGUUGUAAACCGAUUUCGCCUGUGACGAAGCGUGAGUGACGGUAAUGGGUAAAGAAGCACCGGCUAACUACGUG
rnacentral:rRNA from 1 species